rnacentral:rRNA from 1 species
GAUGAACGCUGGCGGCGUGCCUAAUACAUGCAAGUCGAGCGAACGGACGAGAAGCUUGCUUCUCUGAUGUUAGCGGCGGACGGGUGAGUAACACGUGGAUAACCUACCUAUAAGACUGGGAUAACUUCGGGAAACCGGAGCUAAUACCGGAUAAUAUUUUGAACCGCACGGUUCAAAAGUGAAAGACGGUCUUGCUGUCACUUAUAGAUGGAUCCUCGCUGCAUUAGCUAGUUGGUAAGGUAACGGCUUACCAAGGCAACGAUGCAUAGCCGACCUGAGAGGGUGAUCGGCCACACUGGAACUGAGACACGGUCCAGACCCCUACGGGAGGCAGCAGUAGGGAAUCUUCCGCAAUGGGCGAAAGCCUGACGGAGCAACGCCGCGUGAGUGAUGAAGGUCUUCGGAUCGUAAAACUCUGUUAUUAGGGAAGAACAUAUGUGUAAGUAACUGUGCACAUCUUGACGGUACCUAAUCAGAAAGCCACGGCUAACUACGUG